rnacentral:rRNA from 1 species
CACGAGAGGGACAAGUGUUGUUCGUCCUGACUGGGCGUAAAGGGCACGUAGACAAUUAAUAUAACGGAUAGGAUAAAUGCUGUACAUGCAGUGUAUAGAAAAUCCUAUCACGUACAUUUUGAUUAGAGUUACUACUCGGGAUUGUAUAAAUUUUUUUAUUGGGCUAGAAUCCUAAAAAAAAAAAACAAAGUGCCACUAUCGGUGAAGGCGUUGAUCUAGAGGUAACUGACGUUUAAGGUGCGAAAGUGUGGGGGAGCAAAUAGG